CCAAGGAGUCUAACAUGUGCGCGAGUCAUUUGGGUGCUUGAAACACCUAAAGGCGCAAUGAAAUUGAAGGCUUGACUUGUCAAACCGAGGGAGGAUGGACGCGCGGCCCAAGUGGCGGCGUCCCGCACUCCCGGGGCGUCUCGUUCUCAUUGCGAGGAGAGGCGCACCCAGAGCGUACACGUUGGGACCCGAAAGAUGGUGAACUAUGCCUGGCCAGGACGAAGUCAGGGGAAACCCUGAUGGAGGUCCGUAGCGAUUCUGACGUGCAAAUCGAUCGUCAGAGCUGGGUAUAGGGGCGAAAGACUAAUCGAACCAUCUAGUAGCUGGUUCCCUCCGAAGUUUCCCUCAGGAUAGCUGGUGCUCGGAGGACGAAUCUCAUGCGGUAAAGCGAAUGAUUAGAGGCCUUGGGGCCGAAACGACCUCAACCUAUUCUCAAACUUUAAAUGGGUGAGACCUCCGGCAUGCUUGAACACACAUUCUUGAUGCCGGAGUCUCGGAUCCAGAGUACCAAGUGGGCCAAUUUU
rnacentral:rRNA from 1 species